rnacentral:rRNA from 1 species
GACGCUGGGGACGCGAGCGGCGGAUGGGUGAGUAACACGUGGGGAACCUGCCCCAUAGUCUAGGAUACCACUUGGAAACAGGUGCUAAUACCGGAUAAUAAAGCAGAUCGCAUGAUCAGCUUAUAAAAGGCGGCGUAAGCUGUCGCUAUGGGAUGGCCCCGCGGUGCAUUAGCUAGUUGGUAAGGUAACGGCUUACCAAGGCAAUGAUGCAUAGCCGAGUUGAGAGACUGAACGGCCACAUUGGGACUGAGACACGGCCCAAACUCCUACGGGAGGCAGCAGUAGGGAAUCUUCCACAAUGGACGCAAGUCUGAUGGAGCAACGCCGCGUGAGUGAAGAAGGUUUUCGGAUCGUAAAGCUCUGUUGUUGGUGAAGAAGGAUAGAGGUAGUAACUGGCCUUUAUUUGACGGUAAUCAACCAGAAAGUCACGGCUAACUACGUGCCAGCAGCCGCGGUAAUACGUAGGUGGCAAGCGUUGUCCGGAUUUAUUGGGCGUAAAGCGAGCGCAGGCGGAAGAAUAAGUCUGAUGUGAAAGCCCUCGGCUUAACCGAGGAAUUGCAUCGGAAACUGUUUUUCUUGAGUGCAGAAGAGGAGAGUGGAACUCCAUGUGUAGCGGUGGAAUGCGUAGAUAUAUGGAAGAACACCAGUGGCGAAGGCGGCUCUCUGGUCUGCAACUGACGCUGAGGCUCGAAAGCAUGGGUAGCGAACAGGAUUAGAUACCCUGGUAGUCCAUGCCGUAAACGAUGAGUGCUAAGUGUUGGGAGGUUUCCGCCUCUCAGUGCUGCAGCUAACGCAUUAAGCACUCCGCCUGGGGAGUAC